GCCAGACUCCUACGGGAGGCAGCAGUGGGGGAUAUUGCACAAUGGGGGGAACCCUGAUGCAGCGACGCCGCGUGAAGGAAGAAGUAUCUCGGUAUGUAAACUUCUAUCAGCAGGGAAGAAAAUGACGGUACCUGACUAAGAAGCCCCGGCUAACUACGUGCCAGCAGCCGCGGUAAUACGUAGGGGGCAAGCGUUAUCCGGAUUUACUGGGUGUAAAGGGAGCGUAGGCGGCAGUGCAAGUCAGAAGUGAAAGCCCGGGGCUCAACUCCGGGACUGCUUUUGAAACUGUGUUUCUUGAGUGCUGGAGAGGGAAUCGGAAUUCCGUGUGUAGCGGUGAAGUGCGUAGAUAUACGGAGGAGCACCAGUGGCGAGGGCGGAUUGCUGGGCUGUAAAUGACGCUGAGGGUCGA
rnacentral:rRNA from 1 species